rnacentral:piRNA from 1 species
UUCUUGCGCGCCCCCGA